GACAGAGGGUGCGAACGUUGUUCGGAAUUACUGGGCGUAAAGCGCAUGUAGGCGGCAGCGCAAGUCGGGCGUGAAAUCCCACGGCUCAACCGUGGAAGUGCACUCGAAACUGCGCAGCUAGAGUCCUGGAGAGGAAAGUGGAAUUCCUGGUGUAGCGGUGAAAUGCGUAGAUAUCAGGAGGAACACCGGUGGUGUAGACGGCUUUCUGGACCGUAACUGACGCUGAGACACGAAAGCGUGGGUAGCAAACAGG
rnacentral:rRNA from 1 species